rnacentral:rRNA from 1 species
GACGAACGCUGGCGGCGUGCUUAACACAUGCAAGUCGAACGGUGAAGCUCCAGCUUGCUGGAGUGGAUCAGUGGCGAACGGGUGAGUAACACGGGAGCAACCUGCCCCUGACUCUGGAAUAAGCGCUGGAAACGGCGUCUAAUACUGGAUACGAGAAGGGUCCGCAUGGGCACUUUCUGGAAAGUUUUUCGGUUGGGGAUGGGCUCGCGGCCUAUCAGCUUGUUGGUGAGGUAAUGGCUCACCAAGGCGACGACGGGUAGCCGGCCUGAGAGGGCGACCGGCCACACUGGGACUGAGACACGGCCCAGACUCCUACGGGAGGCAGCAGUGGGGAAUAUUGCACAAUGGGCGAAAGCCUGAUGCAGCGACGCCGCGUGAGGGAUGACGGCCUUCGGGUUGUAAACCUCUUUCAGCAGGGAAGAAGCGAAAGUGACGGUACCUGCAGAAGAAGCACCGGCUAACUACGUG